rnacentral:rRNA from 1 species
UGCGUAGGCGGACUAAUAAGUCAGUGGUGAAAUCUCUCGGCUCAACCGGGAAACUGCCAUUGAUACUGUUAGUCUUGAGUUCGGUUGAGGUAGGCGGAAUGUGUAAUGUAGCGGUGAAAUGCUUAGAUAUUACACAGAACACCAAUUGCGUAGGCAGCUUACUAGACCGACACUGACGCUGAGGCACGAAAGCGUGGGGAGCAAACAGGAUUAGAUACCCUGGUAGUCC